rnacentral:tRNA from 1 species
GGCAGUCUGGAGGGACAGGGAAACUCGCCAGUUAAACUGGAGAUACAGGUUCAAAUCCUGUGGCUGCUA